CGCUAGUAGAAAGCGUAGCGGGAAACUUCGAGCAGCGAACAAAGGGAACCCGUCUUGGCUCAAAACCCUUAAAUCAUCAACAACCAUGCCCGUGUCGAUGUCCAUCUCUCAAGGGAAUGAAGAAGAAGACCAAAGAUUUCAACCUUCACCUCCUGCUCAUCACCCUUCCGCCCCGCCGCACGAGUUAUUUGACAUUUCAACAACUGUUGAUCCAAGUUAUGUGAUAUCUAUGAUAAGAAGACUUAUACCUUCAAAUGUACAAUAUGGGGAUCAAGCUAUUGGAAGUGGUUUGAUUUGUGAAGAGCCGAAGGCAGAAGAAGUACCCGAAAAUGGAGGAGAAGCUGAAGCAAUGGAUUCCACUGAACGCUUAGGGGAACUAGAAGGCCCUGACCAGAAAAUUGAUGAUCAACAAGGUAGGUCAAAAGUAGAAGACACGUGGGAGGAGUGUGGUUGUGUCUUAUGGGAUCUUGCAGCAGGUGAAGACCAUGCUCAAUUUAUGAUUCAAAACCUUAUCCUCGAGGUGCUUUUGGCUAAUCUUGUGGUUUCUCAAUCCUCACGCAUUACUGAAAUUAGUCUUGGAAUAAUUGGUAACCUUGCUUGCCAUGAAGCCACUCGGAAACAAAUAGCCUCUACAAAUGGAUUGGUUAAGGUGAUUGUGGAGCAAUUGCUUCUAGAUGAUGUGCCAUGCCUAUGUGAAGCCUGUAGGGUGUUAACCUUGUGCCUCCAAGGUUGCGAAGGCGCAGUUUGGGCCGAAGCAUUGCAGACUGAGCAAAUGCUAUCUCGUAUCUUCUGGAUUUCAGAAAAUGCUUUAAAUCCACAGCUCAUUGAAAAGAUUGUUGGUUUACUCUUAGCAAUUAUAGAGAGUCCACAGGAAGUGGCAGCAACUCUUCUUCCACGUAUAAUGGAAUUGAAUCUUCCAAAUCUUUUGAUCAAACUCCUGGCCUUUGAAAUGAGCAAAUUAAAAGAAGAACAAUUGCCUGAGAGGUAUCCUGUGUUGGACUUGAUUCUUCGGGCAUUUGAGGCUAUAUCUACCAUGGAUAAGUAUUCAUCUGAAAUUUGUCUACAUAAAGAACUCAUGGAGCAACUAAAAGAACUGAUUGAACUUCCUGAUAAGUUGGAGGUUUCCACCUCGUGUGUAACAGCUGCAGUUUUGAUAGCAAAUAUGAUUACUGAGGCGACCGAUCUAGUGUCUGAAUUAUCAAUGGAUGUGGAUUUCUUGCAGGGCCUGUUUGACAUUUUCCCAUUUGCUUCUGAUGAUGUUGAAGCUCAAAGUGCAAUUUGGAGCGUUAUUGCAAGAAUAUUGACAGUUCAUGAAAGCCAGAUGAAUUCAUCAAACUUUAACAUUGUUGUGUCAAUACUUGCAAGCAAGUUGGAUCUAAUAGAAGAUGAACUCCUUGCUCAUACAUUGGGUCAUGAGGGGCAGAACACUGAAAAUGCUUCAGGCACUAAAGUUGAUGUUCGACUCAUUGCCGUAUCCUUAUAUGAUGAAAAAGAUAUCCGAUAUUCUGACCCGAUGGAAAUUCUCUGAUGAUGGAGAAAAGAACACUUCUUCCAUCAAUGAUUGUUCCAUCAAUGAAAAUGUUGAUAAAGUAUUGGAUCUCUGUCAGAAGGCCAUGAGAUAAAUAGAUAAAUUUCCGGCCAAUUCUUACACCACGAGGCAUAGCAUGGAUCGAUGUCCUGCUGCAGUUGAUUCGAUAAGAUGGAUGGAUGCAAAAACUCUGUAAAAGGUGAAAUCAGUUUCUGCUAAAUCUGGUGCCCUUUUCUUGUUUAUAUUGUGUGUAUGUGCAUCACUGAAUUGAAUUUGUGUAUUUACUGAUCAUGAAAAUUUUUUCACACAAACACAGCUGAA